rnacentral:rRNA from 1 species
UGCGCAGGCGGUGAUGUAAGACAGAUGUGAAAUCCCCGGGCUCAACCUGGGAACUGCAUUUGUGACUGCAUCGCUGGAGUGCGGCAGAGGGGGAUGGAAUUCCGCGUGUAGCAGUGAAAUGCGUAGAUAUGCGGAGGAACACCGAUGGCGAAGGCAAUCCCCUGGGCCUGCACUGAGCUCAUGCACGAAAGCGGUGGGGAGCAAACA